ACCCCGCACAAGCGGUGGAUUAUGUUGUUUAAUUUCGACGCAACGCGAAGAACCUUACCAGGCCUUGACAUACUCGGCAAAGCUCUAGAGAUAGAGUGGAGGUUAUCCGGGAUACAGGUGGUGCAUGGUUGUCGUCAGCUCGUGUCGUGAGAUGUUGGGUUAAGUCCCGCAACGAGCGCAACCCUUGUCUUUAGUUACCAUCAUUCAGUUGGGGACUCUAGAGAGACUGCCGGUGAUAAACCGGAGGAAGGUGGGGAUGACGUCAAAUCAUCAUGCCCCUUAUGGCCUGGGCUACAAACGUAAUACAAUGGCGUAUACAAAGGGAUGCGAAAGGGCGACCUGGAGCAAAACUCACAAAGUACGUCUCAGUUCAGAUUGGAGUCUGCAACUCGACUCCAUGAAGGCGGAAUCGCUAGUAACCGCGAAUCAGCAGGUCGCGGUGAAUACGUUCCCGGGCCUC
rnacentral:rRNA from 1 species